rnacentral:tRNA from 1 species
CUUAAAUAAUUUAAAUAAAAAUAUUGAUUUGUGGUAUCAAAAAUGUGGAGUAAUUCAUUUUAGGUU